CUGAGUACUGCAACUAAAUAUGGUCCAUUUUCUAUCGUUUUCAGGGCAGGAAUUAUAUUUUUGAGUUUGAUAGCUUCCCGGACCGCGACAAGUGUCGAGAAUUUGUUGCCUCUGCAAUUGCGGUUUGUGGAGAAGUUGUGAAAGCUGCUUCU